GGGAGGAGCUCAAAUGAUGGCAGGACCAUCGUCCAAAACAGCCGCAAACCUCACUGAGAGUAUCUUCACAUUCACCACGGCUCCAAAGGAUUAAAUAUCAGUUUGCAGCGGCGAAUAUGGGAAACACAACACAAAGAUUGCGGCUUUUUCUGAACCUCAGAGGUUUGUGUGGACCUUCUGUCUCUGUUUAGACAGUUUGCUGGAGGCUGCUAAGGCUGUAUGCAUAACUAAAAACAUCACUAAGAUGUCCAGAUGAGACACUCUGUGUUCAAUACUUUAAGAAAAAGCCAUCAGAUGUUUAUUUCUUUAACAGAACAGCUACAAAAGAUGUCAAAUAACAAUAGCCCUGUGCAAUAUGGCACACCGUUACAUUUUUAACUGCAGUGCAUUCACUUGAUGCAGGAGUUAAUACCCACGCCUAAUACAGAAUUUAGUUGCCGAGAUGGGGAUGAUGAUGGAGAGAAGAAGAAGAGCGGGGAAAAUGUGAUGCAAUCACAAUAAUGGACAAAAUGAUUGCAAUUUUCUUUUUCUAAAUAGUUCCUGAUUGAGGAACCCCCACCCCUUCAGCAGCUCCACACUCCCCUGAUCUUCAUGCACACAGCCCUGCUGGACCAGCUCUACCCCUGCCUGGCCUUGGAGCUGAAUCUGAGGAUGUUUAAGGAUGUGGAGAGAAGCGCCGGAAGCCUGUGUGAAAGAUGAAAAAAGGGGGGGCGAGAUGAAGGAGGAAACGGGGUCAAAGGUCAUGCACAGGAAGGCAUAACAUCCAUGUGAAGGGGUGGGUACCUGGGCAAUUUCAAAGGCACCGCAGCUGACGGUAGAGUUCGCUGCCUCUGCUCUCUGUGUGUGCCAGGCAGAUGCGCUUUGCAUCAGAGGAGGGGAAAAAAAGGUAGAAGAGACUGAAAACUGGACGCGCAGGAUGGACCAGAUUCCCAGCAAAUGACACACAGCAUGUUUCAUUGCUUCUCCUCCUCGUCGGUGAAACUGGCCGCCUCUCUUUGCAGAGCAGUAAUACAGGUUGUGAUGUGACGCCACAGGUGCUCUGGGGGGCCCCUUCGGAUUUCACAGAGAUAUGAGGUUGGAGUUUAUGAGCACCUCUGGCUCUAUGGAUUAUUCAGUUGCAUUAAAUGAAAAACAUAAAACUCCACAGACACAAAUACUUGAUUUAAAAAAAAAAAGAAAACAAAAAAAAACUAUUUUUUCUCAUUUUUCUUUCUUUUCACUAUAGAUUUCCUCCAGUUUGAGAAACGUUAAAGCUUGAGGAAGUUGUGCUUUAUUACUGAGAGACAUGGAGGUAAUCCUCAGGACGCAGAUCGAUACGGAUCAAUGAGCUCUGUAGUGUAACACACGUAAAGUAGCCAUCAGAGGAAAUUACACGGAGAACAUUGAGGCUUUUUUUUUUCUUUUUUAACAACAAGUGUUUGGGGGGAAAAAAUAAAAACAGAUCCGUUCCCUGCUGAGUGUCAGUUCUUUAAUUAAGGCACAAGUGCGCAUUCGGGGCUAAAUGGAACAGAAAGUGAGAGCGCGCGGAGCGGUGCUGGUAAGUAACGCGUCUUGGACGCACGAGUUGUAUUUAGAGAGGUUUAUUUGAACCAGGGAACAGGUGAAUUAUUCACACUGUAGAGAAGUUCCUACCUGGAAGUGUUACAGCCCCCAGCUCUGAGCGCUCCCAUGUCGGAAACAAACGCGCUCUUCCGCUGUAUCCAGACGCAGACGCUCCAGGAAAGAGAAAAAAUGCUUCAUAAAAAUAAAAAAAAAUCCACGAGGUUGUAAUAAAACAACAAAAUAACUUUUAAAAGGUGGAGGAAACAACCAUGACAGACAAGCGAUAUAAAAGGAAAAGAUUCAGAUGUGAAUCAAAGAAUCCAAUAGUUAUUCCUCCAGUUUCUCUCAGUUUGUGUCAGUCGUGACCAGCGCUCCUCUGAGGCGCAGCCGGACUCACUGACUGACCCCUGAAGGCUGCAUCCUCCGCUCACUGAGGGAUGAUGGACCGGGAGGUUUUGGAUGUGGACGCACCACCGGGACGGGAGAAGAAUCCCACCCGUUUCUCUCUUCCAAACACUUCAAAAAAAGUGUAAAGAAAAAAAAAAAAAAAAAA